CUCGAGUCUCACAGCGACGGCAAAACCACCAUCAAACUUUCCAAGGCCGGUCCAAUGUACUUCACUUGUUCCACAUUUGGUCACUGUCAAUCUGGCAUGAAAUUAACCGUCGAUGUCAAAGAUAGCUCCUCCACUCCGUCAACUCCGUCAACUCCUUCAACUCCUUCAACCACUCCUUCAACUCCGUCAGUGGCAUGAAGUUAGCCGUCGAUGUCAAAGAUAGUUCCUCCACUCCGUCAACCACUCCUUCAACUCCUUCUGAUUCUCCCACCACACCUACACCUGAGGUUGGCAACACGCCGUCGAAGUCGACACCUGUAACACC
rnacentral:lncRNA from 1 species